rnacentral:rRNA from 1 species
UACGUAGGGGGCUAGCGUUGUCCGGAUUUAUUGGGCGUAAAGAGCGUGUAGGCGGCCAGGUAGGUCUGCUGUGAAAACUCGAGGCUCAACCUCGAGACGUCGGCGGAAACCAUCUGGCUAGAGUCCGGAAGAGGAGAGUGGAAUUCCUGGUGUAGCGGCGAAAUGCGCAGAUAUCAGGAAGAACACCCGUGGCGAAGGCGGCUCUCUGGGACGGUACUGACGCUGAGACGCGAAAGCGUGGGGAGCGAACAGG